GGAUUGUGGCUCAGUGGUAGAGCGCUUGCCCAGUACAUGUGGGGCACUGGGUUCGAUCCUCAGCACCA
rnacentral:tRNA from 1 species